UUGCAAUCUAAAAUAGAAGUCAGCGUAAGUCACUUUGGGCUUAGUAAUCAAGAGGCAGUGUAUUUUAAUUUUAUUUCAUAGUAAAUUCUAAGAUCUCAGCUCUCCCAUCACUUCACUCCCUACUUUUCAACCAAGUUUAUAUAACCAAACCAUGAAGAACAUCCUGUAACUUUCAUUACAUUCACAAAUCCCCUAAAUUCUUUAAAUGGCAUAUGUUUGUAAACACAGUCUGACAAUUCUGAUACUGUGAGAAGCACAAUAACAAUGUGGUAGUUAAGGGCACAGACAUUGAAGCCAGUUGAUUCUGUGUGACCUUGGGCUGGGAGCUUACUGUGUGUCUCAGUUUCCUCAGCUGUAAAACGAAAACUACAAUAAUGUACCUACUUUACGAGGUUGUUGUGAAGAUUGAAUUUUUAUAUGUAUCUAUAUAUUUUUUACUUAGACUAAUACGGGUAUAUACUAGGUGCUAUGGAGGUAUUUGCUAAUAUUAUUUAUUCUUUCAAAGUAAAUUAGUCCUUUCCUUGUGUAUCACUGUGUCCCUUGUCAUGCUGUGCCACGUGUCAUCAUCUUGCCCCCAAGAAAUGUCAUGAUUUAUCACAUCUGGUCUAUAGUUAAAAUUUAAAUUAAUUUUAAAAAGGAGACAUCUUAGCCAACUUUCUUUAAGAAAGGCUUGUCUUGAGGAGUAUUUGAGGUUUCUGAAGAUAGGAUUCAAAUUUUUCUUCCCUCAAAUCACCUAAGGUAAUCAGUGUUCCAGAUCACUUCCUGCCUCUAAAUAGUGAGUUGAAUUUCUCAAUCUUUGAUGACCUUUGGGAGGUGAUGCAAAAAGGAUGAGCAACUCACUAAAUUGCCUAGAAAUAAAUAUUUUGAUGAGACGCUUUUCUGUUUCCACCUUUUAAACUAAGUACAAAUAUCAUAUUAGUACUAACAGUCCUGGAGAAAAUUAAAAUGUGUUUUAAAAUACUUACUGUGCAUAUCACAUAGUUUUAAAGCUGCCAAAACAUAAGGUCACAGCAUCUAAUGUGUAAAAUUAAAAUUGUAUUAUUUUUAAUAUAAUUAUCAUAGUCUCUUAAAAUACAAAACAAAAUGACUAUCAUCCAAAUUGUGAAUAAAGAAAUAAUGCAGUUGUUUAUACUAAAAAGAAUUAACGUGUUGUUAAUGUUGUGUAAAGUACCAUUAUCAGGAAAAUGCCUUAAUUAUUCAACUUCCUAAUCCAGAUGUUACAGAUAAUAUCAUUUAAUAUGUUUUUCUUGACUUUGUUUCAGGAUGAAUCAUUGCCUCUUACCAUUGCCUUUAUUAGGCAGUUCCAAAUUUACAAAGAAGUUGAACUCCUAAAUUGAAAAAUAAUCCACUGGAGCACCUCCCUUCGCCCUUUAACAUUAUGCAAGGGAUAUUAUAUCACUUAAGAAGAUUCUUUUUGAUUACCUUUCUUUGGAAGUGCAUGAAAGGGUAAGUCAGCACCCAAUGCUUAUGUUAACUUUUCAACAUCUUCUAUCCACACACAAACAGUAUGAUUUCUUCAGUUAAAAUACUGAGAGAAUAAAUGAGAUUCAUGUUAAUGUCUCCUUAUUGCUAUAAGAGGUGUCCUUUAAAAAUGACUAAUGUUCACCCACCAUUAUUGAGUCCUGUAACUAAGUUCCAUAUUCAAGGAUCUUAUCCUGAGUAUGGCAGGCCUCCUGGCAUAAGGGAUCUUUCCUGUUAUUUCUUGCUUAGGAAACAGAUUAUCUUCCUUGUAUGUCAAUAUAUAUUCCCCAAAUCAUCAAAAGGUGAAUAUAAACCUUUUCAACAUUAGAAUCCCAAGAAAUCCACAUGAUUGAUGGGUUGAUCAGAUAAAGGAAAAUAUGUCGAUCAGGUAAGGGAAACUCUCAGAGAGGUCCAAGGUUCUAGGGAUUCCACUGCAAGAGUCAACUUUACUAGCGCUGCACAGGGAUGGGCACCUCUCUGGUUGCAGUGCCAUUGUAUAUUGCUGAGGCAUCUUGCCCAAGGCUGGAUGGAGUGGUUACUUGCAAGUGUGGACAUCAGUCAUGCUUUCACACCUCCUGCAACGGACAUAGCAGCACCAGAUGAACUUACACUCACACCUCUCCACGUGCCUGACCACAUGGGUGUUGUAACCUCGGCCACAGCAGAGGAGGUUGCAGCCAUCUGCACCCUCUGAUGUACGGUUGCAUUCUCUGCCUUGUGUCCCUGGGAUUCCCAGUUUCUUAUCUUCUACACAGUAGUUGGGAGACUUAUUAACAUAGAGCAGAUCAUCCUUGUGGAUUGGUGUUUUCCUCUGAUCUUUUUCUCUCCUGCGCAUUUUCCUCUUUAUUUUGUCUGAUAUCUGGAUACUGUUUUCAUAUUUAUCCUUCAACAAAUGGCCAAUCUUUUCAAAAGAAGACAUGGUUUUCCAGCAUGUUUUCACAGCACAGGAGCCGGAAACUCCGUGGCAGCGGCAGUCUACUGACAUCAGCUUGGCGACAGCCUGAAACCAACAGUAAUUGUGUUCAACUAUCAAUCAUAAAGUGUUUUACUCAACAACAGAAGCACAGUUAAUCUAAUCAAUUAACUUUCUGGGUCUAUUUCCUCUUGAAUAAAAAUGAUGGUUUUGAAUGUAAAUAAUCUUUAAAA